AAACAGUUCUCUACACGGGCACACUGUUGUAACACUGCAAGGAUUAUUUGCUCACCUGUAAAAUGGGGCUAGAGGUAGCUUCCCUCGCGAUCUCCUAGGGUGGCUGUGGGAAGCUCAUGUGAAAAGGUUUGCAUUGCUAAUGCCAUGAAAAGUGGUGGAGGGAGGUCAAAUAAGUUUAACACACAUUGACGGAGCAGCUCUGAGUUGCAGCCCUCCUAUUCAGUUCCUGAACUUCCAAAAUAAAAGACUAAGGUUUUCAAGGCGUUCACAGCCUAGAGAAGCAUCAAAGGGUGGGGAUGAGGAUGAUGUGACUGAGUGGGCAAAGAUGGGCAGGGGCCUUGCAGUCAUCAUCGUCCAGUAAAGUGUUAAUCUUAACCUGAACAAGUCCAACCAUUGAGAGGUAGCCAAAGAAAGUAAGAGGGGCUCAGGAUCCAUCAGUGACUGGCCUGGCUUCCAAUCCCGGCUCUUUCUCUUCUUCCCCUUGGGCAGCGUCCGUUCUCUCCGCUGUAAGAAUGGAGCAAGCGGUUCUCACUGUGCAGAGUGGUGGAUCCAGAAAGAGCAUUGUAACUGUCCUCCUGUAGUUCAAGUCCUUUAUGUUACAGAGAGAGCAAUGUCUGCUGAAGGAGAGUGAUUUGCACUGUAGAGGAAGAGCGUCAGAGAGAUUUGAGGAUUACAUGUAGUAGAAGGACCUGACAGUUCUCUUGCAGGAUCUCCUUCCCAGCCUUCAGAAAUUGCCGGUCUGGGAGUUGGGGGCAAGGAGAAGAUCCUGCAACCCAGUGAUUCCAUGGAAAGCAGAAAGAAGGACAUAAAGAAACGGAUACUUGGUGACAUCUUUGACUCACUGGAUCAAACCUUGCCUGAAGCUCACAUUUCUGAAAUUUCCAGAUACAAGAACAAAUACUUCCUCUUUAUUGUUUUACUAGAUUUGAGACAAGCUUUAAGUUUCUCAGACUCUUCCUCUUCCUAACAGAUUUAUCAGAAGCUGAAAGCUCUGAUCUUGUUGGGAUGCGGAUCGUGUCAGGAGAAGGCUUACUUUGCACGCUUUUCUUAGUCUGGUUGCCUAACUCAAGAACCUCGGCAUGGCUCUGUUACUUCUCUACUCAGACAAGCAUCCCUGCAGACACUCACUAGGCUAACUCUGUCUUUAUUUUUAGAAUUAGACCUUUACGAGAAGCACAGUUUUGUCUUCAGUUUCCUCUCCCCCCACCCGGAAUGGCCUGAGCCGAAGCCAGCUCCCUCCGAGAAGUCAUUACCGCCUGACUUGCGUUUGAUAUUUAGACACCUUGGUCACAACAUCUUGCAUUCUCUCGGGAUGCUGAUUUCUAACUGCUCUUUGGCCUUUCCUGCAUUGGUCCUCCUCAGGCAGGGGAUCCCUGCUCUUCUAUAUUAGUGAGAAAACCAAGGCUCAGAGAAACUGUGGAUUUUCUAAGGAUGCUGGCUCCCCGUCCCCUGUCCACCAUGAGUCAAAGCAAUGUGAGUCCCUCACCAGAUGCAACUGCCCAGUCUUGGACUUUCCAGUGACCAGAAUCAUGAGCCAAAUAAACCUCUUUUCUUUAUGAAUUACCCAGCCUCAAGUAUUCUGUUAUAGCAAAACAAAACAGACAAAGACAGUUUACCUACUUACUUACUAACUCAGGAAAUAUUUUUGAGCAUCUAUUAUGUGGAUUACACCACAAAAGGAUGAACAAUGCAGACAUCAUCUUUGCUGUAAAAGAGCUCAUGGGCCAGCAGUCAAGAUAGAUAUUGAACAAGUGAAAGUCUGGUUAGAUGCACAACUUAAUGUCUGAAAUUCUCCAAUGGAUCUCCUGAAUGUGUUCUAUUUCGUAAAGGACUUGUUAGGAAUGCCUUCAUUUAACCUCUGGGCUUAGCCGCAUCCACUGGAUUUGUCCAUCUGUUGGGUGAGAUUGACUUUCUGUGGCUUGGUAAUCCUUGGGUUCCAG
rnacentral:lncRNA from 10 species